UAAGAAGGGGGCGAGCGUUGUUCGGAAUUACUGGGCGUAAAGGGCGCGUAGGCGGCCGAUCAAGUCAGAUGUGAAAGUCCUGGGCUUAACCUGGGGACUGCAUUUGAUACUGAUUGGCUUGAAUGCAGGAGAGGAUAGCGGAAUUCCCAGUGUAGAGGUGAAAUUCGUAGAUAUUGGGAAGAACACCGGUGGCGAAGGCGGCUAUCUGGACUGUGAUUGACGCUGAGGCGCGAAAGCGUGGGGAGCAAACAGG
rnacentral:rRNA from 1 species